rnacentral:tRNA from 1 species
GCCUAAAUAGCUCAGUUGGGAGAGCGUUGGACUAUAAAUCGAAAAGUCCCUCGUUCGAUCCAGAGUUUCGAGU